AGUGAACGGCUGGCGGCAUGCCUAACACAUGCAAGUCGAACGGCAGCACAGCAGUAGCAAUACUGUGGGUGGCGAGUGGCGGACGGGUGAGGAACACAUCGGAAUUUGCCCAGUCGUGGGGGAUAACGUAGGGAAACUUACGCUAAUACCGCAUACGACCUUACGGUGAAAGCGGGGGAUCGCAAGACCUCGCGCGGAUGGAUGAGCCGAUGUCGGAUUAGCUAGUUGGUGGGGUAAAGGCCUACCAAGGCGACGAUCCGUAGCUGGUCUGAGAGGAUGAUCAGCCACACUGGGACUGAGACCACGGCCCAGACUCCUACGGGAGGCAGCAGUGGGGAAUAUUGGACAAUGGGGGCAACCCUGAUCCAGCAAUGCCGCGUGUGUGAAGAAGGCCUUCGGGUUGUAAAGCACUUUUAUCCGGAACGAAACGUGCGGGGUGAAUAGCCUCGUAAACUGACGGUACCGGAGGAAUAAGCACCGGCUAACUUCGUG
rnacentral:rRNA from 1 species